rnacentral:rRNA from 1 species
UAAUACCAGCGGUCCAAGUAGCUACCAUGUUAUUGGGUCUAAAGCGUUCGUAGCUUGUUUAGUAAAUCUCUUGUGAAAUCUUGCCUCCUAAGGGCAAGGCGUGCAAGAGACACUGCUGGACUAGAGACUGGGAGAAGCUAGAGGAAUGCCCAGAGAAGCGGUAAAAUGCUAUAAUCCUGGGUAGACCACCAAUGGCGAAGGCAUCUAGCUAGAACAGGUCUGACAGUGAGGAACGAAAGCUAGGGGAGCGAACAGGAUUAGAUACCCUGGUAGUCCUAGCCCUAAACGCUGCUGACUAAACAUUGUUUUCUCCUCGAGAGAAAGCAGUGCUGUAGUGAAGACGAUAAGUCAGCCACCUGGGGAGUACGGUCGCAAGGCUG